rnacentral:rRNA from 1 species
UUGCAUCAUGAUUUACAUUUGAGUGAGUGGCGAACUGGUGAGUAACACGUGGGAAACCUGCCCAGAAGCGGGGGAUAACACCUGGAAACAGAUGCUAAUACCGCAUAACAACUUGGACCGCAUGGUCCGAGCUUGAAAGAUGGCUUCGGCUAUCACUUUUGGAUGGUCCCGCGGCGUAUUAGCUAGAUGGUGAGGUAACGGCUCACCAUGGCAAUGAUACGUAGCCGACCUGAGAGGGUAAUCGGCCACAUUGGGACUGAGACACGGCCCAAACUCCUACGGGAGGCAGCAGUAGGGAAUCUUCCACAAUGGACGAAAGUCUGAUGGAGCAACGCCGCGUGAGUGAAGAAGGGUUUCGGCUCGUAAAACUCUGUUGUUAAAGAAGAACAUAUCUGAGAGUAACUGUUCAGGUAUUGACGGUAUUUAACCAGAAAGCCACGGCUAACUACGUGCCAGCAGCCGCGGUAAUACGUAGGUGGCAAGCGUUGUCCGGAUUUAUUGGGCGUAAAGCGAGCGCAGGCGGUUUUUUAAGUCUGAUGUGAAAGCCUUCGGCUCAACCGAAGAAGUGCAUCGGAAACUGGGAAACUUGAGUGCAGAAGAGGACAGUGGAACUCCAUGUGUAGCGGUGAAAUGCGUAGAUAUAUGGAAGAACACCAGUGGCGAAGGCGGCUGUCUGGUCUGUAACUGACGCUGAGGCUCGAAAGUAUGGGUAGCAAACAGGAUUAGAUACCCUGGUAGUCCAUACCGUAAACGAUGAAUGCUAAGUGUUGGAGGGUUUCCGCCCUUCAGUGCUGCAGCUAACGCAUUAAGCAUUCCGCCUGGGGAGUACGGCCGCAAGGCUGAAACUCAAAGGAAUUGACGGGGGCCCGCACAAGCGGUGGAGCAUGUGGUUUAAUUCGAAGCUACGCGAAGAACCUUACCAGGUCUUGACAUACUAUGCAAAUCUAAGAGAUUAGACGUUCCCUUCGGGGACAUGGAUACAGGUGGUGCAUGGUUGUCGUCAGCUCGUGUCGUGAGAUGUUGGGUUAAGUCCCGCAACGAGCGCAACCCUUAUUAUCAGUUGCCAGCAUUAAGUUGGGCACUCUGGUGAGACUGCCGGUGACAAACCGGAGGAAGGUGGGGAUGACGUCAAAUCAUCAUGCCCCUUAUGACCUGGGCUACACACGUGCUACAAUGGAUGGUACAACGAGUUGCGAACUCGCGAGAGUAAGCUAAUCUCUUAAAGCCAUUCUCAGUUCGGAUUGUAGGCUGCAACUCGCCUACAUGAAGUCGGAAUCGCUAGUAAUCGCGGAUCAGCAUGCCGCGGUGAAUACGUUCCCGGGCCUUGUACACACCGCCCGUCACACCAUGAGAGUUUGUAACACCCAAAG